rnacentral:piRNA from 1 species
UCACUUGAGGUCCUCCCUGCUCUACAAAAA